rnacentral:ncRNA from 1 species
AUAUAGUGGCUGCUCCGAGGUUUCUCCGCAAGGAGAAUUAAACGGGAAUCCGGUGAAAAUCCCGAACUGCCCCGCAGCUGUAGCAGGUGCGAACUUUGCGCGGAAUGACAACCAGAAAAGGCAAAGACGAAAGCCAUAGCGGCAAUCGUUCACUGCCUCUGCAUGUUCCUCAAUAACAUCUAUGCCAACGGCAAGGUAAACGUAAACACAGAUCCCUGCCCAGGCUGGCUGGUAACC